UACGAAGGGGGCUAGCGUUGCUCGGAAUCACUGGGCGUAAAGGGUGCGUAGGCGGGUCUUUAAGUCAGGGGUGAAAUCCUGGAGCUCAACUCCAGAACUGCCUUUGAUACUGAGGAUCUUGAGUUCGGGAGAGGUGAGUGGAACUGCGAGUGUAGAGGUGAAAUUCGUAGAUAUUCGCAAGAACACCAGUGGCGAAGGCGGCUCACUGGGCCGACACUGACGCUGAAGCGCGAAAGCCAGGGGAGCGAACGGG
rnacentral:rRNA from 1 species